AUAUUGGACAAUGGGCGCAAGCCUGAUCCAGCCAUGCCGCGUGAGUGAUGAAGGCCUUAGGGUUGUAAAGCUCUUUUGUCCGGGACGAUAAUGACGGUACCGGAAGAAUAAGCCCCGGCUAACUUCGUGCCAGCAGCCGCGGUAAUACGAAGGGGGCUAGCGUUGCUCGGAAUCACUGGGCGUAAAGGGCGCGUAGGCGGCCGAUUAAGUCGGGGGUGAAAGCCUGUGGCUCAACCACAGAAUUGCCUUCGAUACUGGUUGGCUUGAGACCGGAAGAGGACAGCGGAACUGCGAGUGUAGAGGUGAAAUUCGUAGAUAUUCGCAAGAACACCAGUGGCGAAGGCGGCUGUCUGGUCCGGUUCUGACGCUGAGGCGCGAAAGCGUGGGGAGCAAACAG
rnacentral:rRNA from 1 species